AUGCAUUGGGGGUUGCUUUGCUUUGCUUGGAGGUGCAAGAUGAUUCAUUGGGGGUUGCUUUGCUGGGAGGUGCAACGUGAUGCAUUGGGGGUUGCUUUGCUUGGAGGUGCAGAGCUGGGCCUGGGUGCUGGAACAUGGAGUUGCAAGGGCUGUUUGUUUUGCUCUGCAUUCCCAUUAUUUGUUGGGAUGAGUUUGUUUGCAUUGUUUGCUCUGUUCUUGGAGUUGCAAAGGCACAGAGUUGCAAAGGCUGUUCCUUUUGCAUUCCCAUUUGCAUCUGUUCCUUCUGCACUCCCAUUUGUUGGGAUGAGUUUGAUUGCAUUGUUUGUUCUGUUCUCGGAGUUGUUUGCUCUGCUCCCUUUGCUCUUCAUUCCCAUUUGCUUUUGGGAUGAGUUUCAACUGCAUUGUUUGCUCUGUUCUUGGGGUUGCAAGGGCUGUUCCUUUUGCUCUGCACUCCCAUUUGUUGUUGCAAUGAGUUUGACUGCAUUAUUUGCUCUGUUCUUGGAGUUGCAAGGGCUGCUCCUUUUGCUCUGCACUCCCAUUUGUUGUUGGGAUGAGUUUUAACUGCAUUGUUUGCUCUGUUCUUGGAGUUGCAAGGGCUGCUCCUUUUGCUCUGCACUCCCAUUUGUUGUUGGGAUGAGUUUGCAUUGUUUGCUCUGUCCCUUUUGCUCUGCACCCCCAUGUGUUGCAAUGACUUUGCGUUGUUUGCUCUGCUCCGUUUGCUCUGCACUCCACGUAUUGGGAUGAGUUUGAUUGCAUUGUUUGCUCUGUUCUUGGAGUUGCAAGGGCUGUUCCUUUUGCAUUCCCAUUUGUUCCUUUUGCAUUCCCAUUUGCAUCUGUUCCUUUUGCACUCCCACGUGUUGGGAUGAGUUUUAACUGCAUUGUUUGCUCUGUUCUUGGGGUUGCAAGGGCUGUUUGUUUUGCUCUGCACUUCCGUUUGUUGUUGGGAUGAGUUUGCAUUGUUUGCUCUGUUCCUUUUGCUCUGCACCCCCAUGUGUUGCAAUGACUUUGCAUUGUUUGCUCUGCUCCCUUUGCUCUGCACCCCCACGCAUUGGGAUGAGUUUGAUUGCAUUAUUUGCUCUGUUGUUAGAGCUGUUUGCUCUGCUCCCUUUGCUCUGCACCCCCAUGCAUUGGGAUGAGUUUGAUUGCAUUAUUUGCUCUGUUCUUGGAGCUGUUUGCUCUGCUCCCUUUGCUCUGCACCCCCACGCAUUGGGAUGUUCUGACUGCGUUGUUUGCUCUGUUGCUCCAUCGCGUCGCGUCGGCCUCGCGAGGCUCAGAAAGGAAAGAAAUUAAACCAAAAUAACAACAAAGCAGCAAAAAAAACUCGCCUACAAUGUGAGGAAAUAGGAACCGCCGCCUUCCUGCCCCUGCUGCUGCUCCAUCACGUGUGUGUGUGUGUGUGUGUGUGUGUGUGUGUGUGUGCAGGGCAGGAAGCCGCAGUGGGACGCAGCUGUGCAGCAGGAGCAGCAGGAGCAGCAGGAGCAGGAGGUGCAGCCCGUCCUGCUGUGCUGCACAUGCAUCCCCCACCAGCAGCAGCAGCAGCAGCAGCUCCCAGCUGGGAGGA
ensembl:lncRNA